rnacentral:lncRNA from 1 species
GGACUGGGCAAUGGGCCUAAAGGCAAAAUCAAAUUAGCCCAAUUAAUAUAAGAAAGGAAACAGGCCCAAAACAAUUGAAUUCCAAACGCCCAUUUGGCGAUACAAGGCCUAGGCGAGGUGGGUAAUGACGGACGACGCCCAUAAGACGGAUUUGCAUAUGACAAUAAAAUAUCUUCAUCCUUCCCUGUCUUAGCGAUUAACUUGGGAACGAAGAAACCAACUCCUUGAAACCGCCAUGGCUUGAAGAUCAAGGUUUUAUUCCUACUUUCACGCUGCAUCACCGGAAAAGGCGCUGAAGACCGGAUUUGUAGGAACCCUAGCUUGGAGAAGAAGGCUUUAAUGGUCUAUAAAUAGUUUGAUACUUUCAUCUGUAAAGAAGGAUCGAAUUCUGACUUAUUAAACUCCCAGGGUUGUUGGGAUUGAACUGAGUGUAAUCACACCAUUUGAUCAAUAAUACAAACCCCCUCGUUUUUUACCAGAACACUACCGAUAAGAACCAAAGAAAUAAAUUGACCAAAUUGAAAUGUAAAACACUUAAGAAUUUAAAUGUCGACAAUGU